rnacentral:rRNA from 1 species
CCUACGGGUGGCAGCAGUGGGGAAUAUUGGACAAUGGGGGGAACCCUGAUCCAGCCAUGCCGCGUGUGUGAAGAAGGCCCUCGGGUUGUAAAGCACUUUCAGUGAGGAAGAACGCCUGGUGGUUAAUACCCAUCAGGAAAGACAUCACUCACAGAAGAAGCACCGCCUAACUCCGUGCCAGCAGCCGCGGUAAUACGGAGGGUGCGAGCGUUAAUCGGAAUUACUGGGCGUAAAGCGCGCGUAGGUGGCUUGAUAAGCCGGUUGUGAAAGCCCCGGGCUCAACCUGGGAACGGCAUCCGGAACUGUCAAGCUAGAGUGCAGGAGAGGAAGGUAGAAUUCCCGGUGUAGCGGUGAAAUGCGUAGAGAUCGGGAGGAAUACCAGUGGCGAAGGCGGCCUUCUGGACUGACACUGACACUGAGGUGCGAAAGCGUGGGUAGCAAACAGGAUUAGAUACCCCGGUAGUC